UUUUGGCCUUUGGUGGUGAGAGUGGCGAACGGGUGAGUAAUGCGUGACCGACCUGCCCCAUACACCGGAAUAGCUCCUGGAAACGGGUGGUAAUGCCGGAUGCUCCGACUCCUCGCAUGGGGUGUCGGGAAAGAUUUCAUCGGUAUGGGAUGGGGUCGCGUCCUAUCAGGUAGUCGGCGGGGUAACGGCCCACCGAGCCUACGACGGGUAGCCGGCCUGAGAGGGCGACCGGCCACAUUGGGACUGAGAUACGGCCCAGACUCCUACGGGAGGCAGCAGUGGGGAAUAUUGCACAAUGGGCGCAAGCCUGAUGCAGCGACGCCGCGUGCGGGAUGACGGCCUUCGGGUUGUAAACCGCUUUUGAUCGGGAGCAAGCCUUCGGGUGAGUGUACCUUUCGAAUAAGCACCGGCUAACUACGUGCCAGCAGCCGCGGUAAUACGUAGGGUGCAAGCGUUAUCCGGAAUUAUUGGGCGUAAAGGGCUCGUAGGCGGUUCGUCGCGUCCGGUGUGAAAGUCCAUCGCUUAACGGUGGAUCUGCGCCGGGUACGGGCGGGCUGGAGUGCGGUAGGGGAGACUGGAAUUCCCGGUGUAACGGUGGAAUGUGUAGAUAUCGGGAAGAACACCAAUGGCGAAGGCAGGUCUCUGGGCCGUUACUGACGCUGAGGAGCGAAAGCGUGGGGAGCGAACAGGAUUAGAUACCCUGGUAGUCCACGCCGUAAACGGUGGAUGCUGGAUGUGGGGCCCGUUCCACGGGUUCCGUGUCGGAGCUAACGCGUUAAGCAUCCCGCCUGGGGAGUACGGCCGCAAGGCUAAAACUCAAAGAAAUUGACGGGGGCCCGCACAAGCGGCGGAGCAUGCGGAUUAAUUCGAUGCAACGCGAAGAACCUUACCUGGGCUUGACAUGUUCCCGACAGCCGUAGAGAUAUGGCCUCCCUUCGGGGCGGGUUCACAGGUGGUGCAUGGUCGUCGUCAGCUCGUGUCGUGAGAUGUUGGGUUAAGUCCCGCAACGAGCGCAACCCUCGCCCUGUGUUGCCAGCACGUCAUGGUGGGAACUCACGGGGGACCGCCGGGGUCAACUCGGAGGAAGGUGGGGAUGACGUCAGAUCAUCAUGCCCCUUACGUCCAGGGCUUCACGCAUGCUACAAUGGCCGGUACAACGGGAUGCGACACGGCGACGUGGAGCGGAUCCCUGAAAACCGGUCUCAGUUCGGAUUGGAGUCUGCAACCCGACUCCAUGAAGGCGGAGUCGCUAGUAAUCGCGGAUCAGCAACGCCGCGGUGAAUGCGUUCCCGGGCCUUGUACACACCGCCCGUCAAGUCAUGAAAGUGGGUAGCACCCGAAGCCGGUGGCGGUAACGCGCUUUUUGCUGUUUUAAGCGG
rnacentral:rRNA from 1 species